rnacentral:rRNA from 1 species
UGAGGAAUAUUGGUCAAUGGGCGGAAGCCUGAACCAGCCAAGUCGCGUGAGGGAAGACGGUCCUAUGGAUUGUAAACCUCUUUUGCAGGGGAGCAAGGAGCGGUACGCGUACCGCUUUGGAGAGUACCCUGAGAAAAAGCAUCGGCUAACUCCGUGCC